rnacentral:rRNA from 1 species
GAUGAACGCUGGCGGCGUGCCUAAUACAUGCAAGUCGAGCGAACAGACGAGGAGCUUGCUCCUUCGACGUUAGCGGCGGACGGGUGAGUAACACGUAGGUAACCUACCUAUAAGACUGGGAUAACUUCGGGAAACCGGAGCUAAUACCGGAUAAUAUUUCGAACCGCAUGGUUCGAUAGUGAAAGAUGGCUUUGCUAUCACUUAUAGAUGGACCUGCGCCGUAUUAGCUAGUUGGUAAGGUAACGGCUUACCAAGGCAACGAUACGUAGCCGACCUGAGAGGGUGAUCGGCCACACUGGAACUGAGACACGGUCCAGGCUCCUGCGGGAGGCAGCAGUAGGGAAUCUUCCGCAAUGGGCGAAAGCCUGACGGAGCAACGCCGCGUGAGUGAUGAAGGUCUUCGGAUCGUAAAACUCUGUUAUUAGGGAAGAACAAACGUGUAAGUAACUGUGCACGUCUUGACGGUACCUAAUCAGAAAGCCACGGCUAACUACGUG